GUGCCUAUAGUGUAAUGGUUAGCACAGGACCCUGUGGAGGUCCUGGUUCGAGUUCAAAUCUCGAUAGGCACC
rnacentral:tRNA from 1 species